rnacentral:rRNA from 1 species
UGGAGUCUGCAACCCGACUCCACGAAGUUGGAUUCGCUAGUAAUCGCGCAUCAGCCAUGGCGCGGUGAAUACGUUCCCGGGCCUUGUACACACCGCCCGUCAAGCCAUGGGAGCCGGGGGCGCCUGAAGUCCGGGACCGCGAGGACCGGCCUAGGGCGAAACUGGUAACUGGGGCUAAGUCGUAACAAGGUACC